AAAAAAUAUAAUUCUGAAAGAAAGUUAAAAUUUCUUAAUAGUAUUCCUAUAUCCACAACAAGAUCAGAAUGGAUAAGAAAUAAUGGCUUCUAAAAUCACAUUAAUUUUUCCGUUUAGAAACAAACAACAAACCUCGUUUCUAUACCAACAUCAGGAUGUUAACAUGUAUUCAGAAAGGAGCUAAUUUCCAAACACUACAAAACAAACUAUAAGCUAGCCAAUAUCUGAGCUAGUUUUCCCAUUGUCUGUUAAUAAAAUAAAAAGCCAUUGUCUAUGAAAGGUAUCUUUUUUUUUUUUUUUUUUAAAGAUAGGAUCUUGCUCUGUUACCAAGGUUGGAGUGCACUGGCACGAUCGUGGCUCACUGCAGCCUCAACCUCCUGGGACUCAGGUGAUCCUCCCACUUCAGCCUCCUGAGUAGCUGGGACCACAGGUGCACACCUCCACGCCUGACUAGUUUUUGUAUUUUUUUGUAGAGAUGGAGUUUCACCAUGUUGCCCAGGCUGGUUUUGAACUCCAGGGCUCAGGCCCACCUCCACCUCCCAAAGUGCUGGGAUUAUAGGUAUGGGCCACUGUGCCCAGCCCUAUGAAGAAUAUCUUCAAAGUAUAUAAAAUACUGCUUUUUCAAAAUAGGUACAACCUCUUCAUCUUCACAACAACGAAUAAUGUAGCUGGGACAAGUAUCAGAAUGAUUCUCACUGUACAGAUGAAGAAACUCAGUCUGCGUGCAUGGUAUUUGCCCAAGGUCAUACAGGUCAUUAAGAGAAAGUGGGAAUACAAUCUAGGUCUCUACUAGUGUGUCAUUUUGUCUUUAUCAAAAAUAAAAAUAAAUUCAGAUGGAAUUAGGGUAAAAAAAAUUCUUGUGUCCAUUAAUAGCAGAAAUAGCUUUGUUAUUCAUUUAAAUCUUUAUAAUGACAGUUAUAUUAAUCUAAAAACUUGUCUGCUAACCAUUGUAUUAAUUUGGUAAGAGAAAUUCCAACCAGAAAAGCAUUCUAGUCAAUAUUUAAAGAAAGAACAAUAUUAGAUACAUUCUAGUAAAGCAAUUAUUUUAAUAAAUUAAGAAAGCAAAUAAAAACCUUUGUAUUUAAGGUCUGUAUCACAUAAUUUAUAAUAAUGAAUUAAAAUGACAGUAAAUAUGUAUUACAGUUUGCAAAUAAUUUAAAGAAAUGAAACUGAAAUCUCUAAAUAUUUUUAGACCAUUUCUCCCACUUCCAUGUAGAAAGUUUCAGAUUUUCUAUAUAUUUGUUACACUUACUAUAUUAUACAUUAUUUUCCCAAAUCAUGUUUUCUAGUACUAAAUAAUUCAUCUAAACUCUGGUAGUACCUUAAGUGCACAUCUUUAAUAUCAUUUUUAAAACAAUUUAGUAAUAAUCUUCAAUCUGUAAGUACUAAGGAAGGUAUCCAAUGACAAUAUAAAUUCACAUAGGCAGGCUUACAUAAUUAAGACAAAGUAAUUUAUUUUGACUGAACAUGAUGUAUGACAAUUUAAAAUGCAGACAAUAAAAACAGUCUAAUUCAUACAUGCAAAGUUAUGAAAUUAAAAUUUUAAAAAUCAAGGUCUUAAAAUAGAACUUCUCAAAUGAAAAAAAAAGCCUUGUAUUUGGAUAUAUUUAUGGCACAAAGUCCUUUAGAAUGCUAUAGACAUUAUGUAGCUCCUCACUAUAAAAAGCAGUCUUUAAAAUCUUGAUUUUUAAAAGAAAAAUAUUUUGAUUAAAAUUUAUAUUUUUAUAGCUUAAUAGUAUCUUGAAAAAGAAAAGAUGAGGAAACUAAAACGAAAAGAAGUUAUAGAGGAACUUAGCAGAAUAAAAAGAUAAAACAAUUUCAGGGUUUUAGGAAAAUAUACUUGACUUCUCUGAUCAUGUUCCUGAAUCCAAAAAACUUAAUUUCACAGGGUCGUUAAAAGAAUUGCAUUAGGUAAUAUGUGUAAAAAAGGCUGAAAACCUUUAAAUUCUAUGUAAAUAUGAGGCACAAUUGUUUCGGGUUUUUUUUUUUUUUUUUUUUUUGAGCAGGGUCUCCUUCUGUUGCCCACUGCUGUGCAGUGCCACAACCAUGACUCACUGCAGCCUUGAACUCCUGGACUCAAGCGAUCCUUCUACCUCAGCCUCCCAUGUAGCUGGGAUUACAGGUGCAUACCACAAAGCCUGGCUCACAAUUCUUUUACUAUCACAUAAAGAUCUACUGAAAUAUCGAAUGACAGAUAAGGAGUAAAUAAAAUUUAGAGUGACAUAAGGAGCUGCUACUAUAGUAAUUUUUUAAAAAAGGAUAUAAGGCAAAAUAAUUUUACAUGCACUCCUUCUCUGAUAGCAAAAUUAUGAUAAAUUGUAUAGCAUAGGAAUUAGACAAUUGUUGGCCAGAUGCCAAUAAAAUGAUUUUUCUCAUGCAUACAAUAUAUUGUGUAUGUUUCACUAGAAUACUGAUUCAGUAGGGGAAACACACCAUGUUUCAACUUGUAAGUGAAAUAAUCCUUUUUGGAAACCAUUUCAAUUAAUAAGCUUCUCUCAUCUAGUUCUCAUCCGGAGGCUACUGUUACUAAAUGAACCAAUUAUCAGCACUGCCCAUAUGAAUGGACAUGUGGUAAAAGGUCACUGUUUGGGAGAGAAGAAUGCAGACCAGAGUUCAGAGGCUAAUAGGUACCUGCUAAUCUUUUCAGAAAAAAAUUUCUGAAGGGGAAUUUCUACAUGAAAAGAGAGGUAACACGACUUGCGAAGCUAAAAUUAGCUGGCCUUUUACUUGAAUAGUAUCAAUAUUUAUUUGUCUUCUAAUGCUGAUUACAAAACAACUAUUAUGAUGAAAAACAACAGAGAAAGUAAAUUAUUGAAAGUUUUAACUAAAAAUUCAACCCAAAGAUUUUUGUAUUUGUAUAUAAGUACAAACCAAUCAUUCCCCCAAAUUUUUUUACUUUCCUUAAGACUUUUACCAAUUCCUAUGAUUUUCAUGCCUGCACAUUUCUUAUAUAAAAUAUAUUUUUAAAUCAGUUAAUGAAAAUAAGAUAUUUAGAACUCUACUCCAAAAACAGCAAAAGAAUUAGCCCUGUUUUGAAUAAAGAUGAGGUCAUUUUAUGAAUCUCUGCUACAUAACCUAUGAUAUUAUCCUAUAAAAUGCAAUAUACAAGGAACAUUCUAUGGAAAGGUAAUCAAACCCACUAGAGGAGACGUGUUUUGAGUUCUCCAUGAUACUUAUUACCUACCAACACAGAGUAGGAAGAGACUAGCAGGAAUACUGGUGACUGGCUAUUGACUGAUAGUGUAUCUAAAAAGGAGUAGAGGAGAGAAGUCUAGUUUAACAAGAAACUUGAUAACCUGAAUCUUUUCAUGAUUUUGUGAAAAACGCUUGUAUGACAUUUUCUCCCUCCCUCCUUCUACGUAAUUGUGGUAUUAAGUACAUCAUUUACCUCACUCAACUGAACUAUUUUCUCAUCUACAAAACUAGAAGACUAGAUGAUGUUGCAUCUCAAUGAUCCCCUUUGGCAUAAAACUUUAUAGUUAUAUUUACUGUCAUCACCUGCUGUAAGACCUCAUUAUUCAUGUCACUUAAAGAAUUCUAUAAGCAAGCUAAAAGACCAUCAGCUAAAGAAUUAGAAACGCACUUCUACGUGUGUUCCAACUCAAAGGGGUGGCAGAAAACAUUCACAUAGGAAUGCAACGUUUUCUUAGCUUCUGAAUUCCUAAGAACAUAGUAUUAAUGCAAGUAUCCAAAUCUACUCUACAUGUAUGGCAAUCUGAUUACUGAAAGAGCAAUACUUCUUUCUUUGCAGUACAAGGCCAGAACCACCUCAUACGGUAGCUGAAAAGACUUAAACCAUUAAUUAGUAAGUCAGUUGGCUGAAAAAAUGUUUUAUACAGUUA
rnacentral:lncRNA from 10 species